UACGAGUGCCUCAAGCGUUAUCCGGAAUCAUUGGGCGUAAAGGUUGUGUAGGUGGUUGUAUUAGUCUCUUGUUAAAUUCUUCGGCUUAACCGGGGGCAUGCAAGGGAAACGGUACAACUCGAGGAUGCGAGGGGUCUGCGGAACUCAUAGUGUAGCGGUGAAAUGCGUUGAUAUUAUGGGGGAACACCAAAAAGCGAAGGCAGCAGACUGGAGCACUCCUGACACUGAAACAAGAAAGCGUGGGUCGCGAAUGGG
rnacentral:rRNA from 1 species